GAUGAACGCUGGCGGCGUGCUUAACACAUGCAAGUCGAACGAAGCUGCUUAACUGAUCUUCUUCGGAAUUGACGUUUUGUAGACUGAGUGGCGGACGGGUGAGUAACGCGUGGGUAACCUGCCCUGUACAGGGGGAUAACAGUCAGAAAUGACUGCUAAUACCGCAUAAGACCACAGCACCGCAUGGUGCAGGGGUAAAAACUCCGGUGGUACAGGAUGGACCCGCGUCUGAUUAGCUGGUUGGUGAGGUAACGGCUCACCAAGGCGACGAUCAGUAGCCGGCUUGAGAGAGUGAACGGCCACAUUGGGACUGAGACACGGCCCAAACUCCUACGGGAGGCAGCAGUGGGGAAUAUUGCACAAUGGGGGAAACCCUGAUGCAGCGACGCCGCGUGAGUGAAGAAGUAUCUCGGUAUGUAAAGCUCUAUCAGCAGGGAAGAAAAUGACGGUACCUGACUAAGAAGCCCCGGCUAACUACGUGCCAGCAGCCGCGGUAAUACGUAGGGGGCAAGCGUUAUCCGGAAUUACUGGGUGUAAAGGGCGCGCAGGCGGUAUGGCAAGUCAGAAGUGAAAUCCCUGGGCUCAACUCCGGGACUGCAUUUGAAACUGUCCGUCUUGAGUGCCGGAGAGGUAAGCGGAAUUCCUAGUGUAGCGGUGAAAUGCGUAGAUAUUAGGAGGAACACCAGUGGCGAAGGCGGCUUACUGGACUGUAACUGACGUUGAGGCUCGAAAGCGUGGGG
rnacentral:rRNA from 1 species